rnacentral:rRNA from 1 species
GUGAGGAAUAUUGCGCAAUGGGGGAAACCCUGACGCAGCGAUGCCGCGUGAGUGAAGAAGGCCCUCGGGUCGUAAAGCUCUGUCAAGUGGGAAGAACAGCUUUAGGGCUAAUAUCCUUAAGGUCUGACGGUACCACUGAAGGAAGCACCGGCUAACUCCGUGCCAGCAGCCGCGGUAAGACGGAGGGUGCAAGCGUUAUUCGGAUUUAUUGGGCGUAAAGAGCGUGUAGGCGGCCGGUCAAGCCAGAUGUGAAAGCCCAGGGCUUAACCCUGGAAGUGCAUUUGGAACUGGUUGGCUUGAGUUCGGGAGAGGGAAGUGGAAUUCCGGGUGUAGAGGUGAAAUUCGUAGAUAUCCGGAGGAACACCGGUGGCGAAGGCGACUUCCUGGACCGAAACUGACGCUGAGACGCGAAAGCGUGGGGAGCAAACAGGAUUAGAAACCCUGGUAGUCC